ensembl:misc_RNA 7SK 7SK RNA
GGAUAUGAGGGAGAUCUGGCAACAUCUGUUACCCCCUUGAUCGCCAGGGCUGAUGUGGCUGAUCUGGCUGGCUAGGGUGUCCCCUUCCUCCCUCACCGCUCCAUGUGUGUCCCUCCUGAAGCUGCAUGCUCAGUGGAAGAGGAUGACCUUCUCUUGAACAGAGUCGGAGCAGUCUUUUGGUAGAGGGUAUCUGAGUAGCUGCUCGCCUCUGCUAGAACCUCCAAAUAAGCUCUCUAAAGGCCCUUGUUUCAAUCCUCAGAACCACCGUAACCCAGAAUUGGGAGUAUUCUGGUAUAU